ACUCAAAUGAAUAGACGGGGACCCGCACAAGUGGUGGAGCGUGUUCUUUAAUUCGAUGUUAAGCGAAGAACCUUACCAGGGCUUGACAUCCUUGGAAUCUCUCCGAAAGGAGAGAGUACUUUAUUGGACCAAGUGACAGGUGUUGCAUGGCCGUCGUCAGCUCGUGUCGUGAGAUGUUAGGUUAAGUCCUUCAACGAGCGCAACCCUUAUGUUUAGUUGGAUUUUUCUAAACAGACUGCCCCGGUAACGGGGAGGAAGGAGGGGAUGAUGUCAGGUCAUUAUUACCCUUACGCCCUGGGCUAGAAACGCGCUACAAUGGCCGGUACAAAGGGCAGCCAACCCGCGAGGGGGAGCAAAUCCCAUCAAAACCGGUCCCAGUUCGGAUUGCAGGCUGAAACUCGCCUGCAUGAAGCCGGAAUCACUAGUAAUCGUAGGUCAGCACACUACGGUGAAUACGUUCCCGGGUCUUGUACACACCGCCCGU
rnacentral:rRNA from 1 species